GAUCCUACGGCUAAGAUAACAAAGCGCCUGCCUAGUAAGCAGGAGAUCACGAGUUCCAGUCUCGUUGCGACCU
rnacentral:tRNA from 1 species